GCAUAUCAAUAAGCGGAGGAAAAGAAACUAACAAGGAUUCCCCUAGUAACGGCGAGUGAAGCGGGAAGAGCUCAAAUUUAAAAUCUGGUAGCCUUGCGCUGCCCGAGUUGUAGUCUAGAGAAGCAUCAUCCGCG
rnacentral:rRNA from 1 species